AUGUUCCCCAUGGCCGCAGAUCCGACGGCGCCCGUCUCUGGCGACCACGACGAGCGGCCGAGCGGCCAGUGCAAGGGGGCGUUGUCGCAUCAGGCGAACAAGAGCACCGACGGCAAGGGAAAGGAAGUAGCCAACGCUCAAGACCACGGCAGCGACGGCGCUAACCAGCGGAGGCGGCGCAGACAUCUCAUCGUCGCCACCAAUAAGGUGCCCCAUGACGACGAUGGUGACGGCGACUUCGACAGCCCUCUUCCCGCCACCGCCGGCGGCGUUAGCUGCUCGCCGUCGCAGCAGCAUCCGCACCGGGCGCUGGAGAUCGAGAUCGGCGUGAGGAUGCUGGAGCUGGAGCGGCAGCGCGUGAAGUGGGCCGCCGCGAACCUGAGGGAGGAAAUGGAGCUGAAGAAGAUGCGGUUGGAGGACUGGAGCUCAGCGUCGUCAGAUCCAAGAGGAGCUGGGGGUGUACCGUGCCGCAGGAAAUUAGGGAAGGAGAUGAAACAGAAGGAGAAACAAAUAAGAGGUCAUGUAACGUAG
rnacentral:rRNA from 1 species